rnacentral:rRNA from 1 species
UACGUAGGGGGCGAGCGUUGUCCGGAUUUAUUGGGCGUAAAGCGCGCGCAGGCGGUUCGUUAAGUCCGAUGUGAAAGCUCCCGGCUCAACUGGGAGAGGUCUUCGGAUACUGGCGAACUCGAGGGAGGCAGAGGAGGGUGGAAUUCCGGGUGUAGUGGUGAAAUGCGUAGAGAUCCGGAGGAACACCAGUGGCGAAGGCGGCCUUCUGGGCCUUUCCUGACGCUGAGGCGCGAAAGCGUGGGGAGCGAACCGG